rnacentral:rRNA from 1 species
UACGUAGGGUGCAAGCGUUAUCCGGAAUUAUUGGGCGUAAAGAGCUCGUAGGCGGUCUGUAGCGUCGGCUGUGAAAACCCGGGGCUCAACCCCGGGCCUGCAGUCGAAACGGGCAGACUAGAGUGCGGUAGGGGAGACUGGAAUUCCUGGUGUAGCGGUGAAAUGCGCAGAUAUCAGGAGGAACACCGGUGGCGAAGGCGGUUCUCUGGGCCGUAACUGACGCUGAGGAGCGAAAGCGUGGGGAGCGAACAGG